rnacentral:rRNA from 1 species
GAGUUUGAUCCUGGCUCAGGAUGAACGCUGGCGGCGUGCUUAACACAUGCAAGUCGAACGAUCCAGCACUCAACUACCAACUACAUUUUCAAGAAGAAACGAAAGUGUGGUUAGUAGUUGAGUGCUGGAGAGUGGCGGACGGGUGCGUAACGUGUGGGUAAUCUGCCUUUGUCAUGGGAAUAACUGCUUGAAAGAGCAGCUAAUACCGAAUAACAUAUGCAAUAGGCAUCUAUUGGAUAUCAAAGAGAAAUCGGACAAAGAUGAGCCCGCAUCUGAUUAGCUAGUUGGUAGGGUAACAGCCUACCAAGGCAACGAUCAGUAGCCGACCUGAGAGGGUGAACGGCCACAUUGGAACUGAGACACGGUCCAAACUCCUACGGGAGGCAGCAGUGGGGAAUAUUGCACAAUGGGGGGAACCCUGAUGCAGCAACGCCGCGUGAGUGAAGAAGGCUUUCGAGUCGUAAAACUCUGUUGUAAGGGAAGAUAAUGACAGUACCUUAAAAGAAAGCCCCGGCUAACUACGUGCCAGCAGCCGCGGUAAUACGUAGGGGGCAAGCGUUAUCCGGAAUCACUGGGCGUAAAGGGUGCGCAGGUGGUCUGUCAAGUUAGAGGUGAAAGGCAUAGGCUCAACCAAUGUAAGCCUUUAAAACUGACGGACUUGAGUGCAGGAGAGGAAAGUGGAAUUCCUAGUGUAGCGGUGAAAUGCGUAGAUAUUAGGAGGAAUACCGGUGGCGAAGGCGACUUUCUGGACUGUAACUGACACUGAGGCACGAAAGCGUGGGGAGCAAACAGGAUUAGAUACCCUGGUAGUCCACGCCGUAAACGAUGAGUACUAGGUGUCGGGGGCGACCUCGGUGCCGCAGUUAACACAUUAAGUACUCCGCCUGGGGAGUACGCUCGCAAGAGUAAAACUCAAAGGAAUUGACGGGGACCCGCACAAGCAGCGGAGCAUGUGGUUUAAUUCGAAGCAACGCGAAGAACCUUACCUAAACUUGACAUACCGAUGACGAUUCGGUAAUGCGAAUUUUCCUUUCGGGGACAUUGGAUACAGGUGGUGCAUGGUUGUCGUCAGCUCGUGUCGUGAGAUGUUGGGUUAAGUCCCGCAACGAGCGCAACCCUUGUCAGUAGUUGCCAGCAUGUAAGAUGGGGACUCUAUUGAGACAGCUAAGGGCAACUUAGAGGAAGGUGGGGAUGACGUCAAAUCAUCAUGCCCCUUAUGUUUAGGGCUACACACGUGCUACAAUGGUCAUUACAGAGGGAGGCGAAGCUGUGAAGUGGAGCGAACCCCAAAAAGAUGAUCUAAGUUCGGAUUGUAGGCUGAAACUCGCCUACAUGAAGUUGGAGUUGCUAGUAAUCGCGAAUCAGCAUGUCGCGGUGAAUGCGUUCCCGGGUCUUGUACACACCGCCCGUCACACCAUGGGAGUUCGGGGGGCCCAAAGUCAGUGAGCAAACCGAGAGGGUGCAGCUGCCUAAGGCAAAACGAAUGACUGGGGUGAAGUCGUAACAAGGUAGCCGUAUCGGAAGGUGCGGCUGGAUCACCUCCUU